ensembl:lncRNA
CUUUGGUCAGAUGAGACAAUAAUGAUUUUAUUCCGGCUCCCACAGUGAAUGCAUGGUCCUGACAGUGAAGCACAGAGGUGGGAGUGUGAGGAUAUGAGGCCGCAAAAUGUGUAAAAUGUGUUCAGGAGGUGACAUUUAUGGAUGAUACCAAGCGUACCUGUAGAUACACAAAAAUACUGACUGACAAGAUGAAUCCCAGUCUGCAGAAGCUUACCAGGAGAGGAAUAUUCUAGCACAAUAAUGAUCCAAAAGACACUGCCAAAAUCGCACAAGAGUUUCUUAAACAGUGAAGACUAUGACUAUAAACUUCAUGAAUAAUUAUUUUGCUGUUUGCAAGAAAAAAAAGCAUGCAGAUUGCUGUUUCUUCCCUCAUGUUUGCUUAUAUUUAUCGUAUGGAAUCUAAUGAAGUAGCAUUUUGUAGUUCUGUAAGCAAUAGGUAGCAUUUUUGUUCCUUUUUUUUUGGCUAAGGUUAGUUAUCUCAUGUUGACUGACUGUCACAUUACAACCAACACACUGAACCCAUCUAUACAGCCCUAAUGUGCUGGUUUUGAUUUAUUUUUUCUGACUAUCUGGAAGUUAAUAAAGUUAAUAUAAUUCAUACUUCAGUCGCAUAUUAAUACUUACUCACUUACCUCCCAUAAGCUCAUCUACACUUUCUGCUCCAACCGUCUAGGACUCGUUCUUCUUCAUGAAGCCAAAUUCCAGAGAUUUCGCCUGUCAAGCCUCCAUCGCAAAAAUGCUUCCUGUUAUUGUCAAGGAAUCAAACGAUGUCACCUUCUCAAUAUUUAUAUGCAAAUUUAAAGCCCAUUUACAGAAGACAGCCUACAACACGUCUGCAACUCUGAAAUGCAUUCUUCACAUGAGGUCGCACAAACCAGUCACGACAGGCCUGGCUCUUCCCUCGUGGUUUUAUGAAAAUUAUGCUCGACUAAUUCAACAACAUAUAAUCCAGUGAACAAGGAACUGAUGAACAAAAGGAAGUAGCUCUUAAAAACAGGGAAGUAAAACCCCUUUAGUAUAAAAGGGAACCACACCAGCUGUCGGUGAGACUAAUACAUGAGAGUCUGCAGAGUAGUUUUUAGCAUCGACUCAAAAAAGAACAGACUCAGGCUCCAUUUUUACUGUAACAGAGAAUUAGCACAUCAUUUGUCUCAGCUGAUAAGUCUGAAAAAGAGAAACGUGUAUCUGAAUUUUAGGUUAUUGAUUUGAUACAACCUGCACGGCAACAUCACUGUCAUAGAGGUUCAACAAUAAAUCAUGUGGCCCUUGUGAAUCAAUAUUAAAAAUAGAGUUUACUUACACUUAAAGUGAUCGGUCAUUCCCAGAAGGAAGUGCAGACUCAUUAACUAAUGGCCCUGCUGCAAGAUCCGCAUUUUUUUACUGCCAUGACAUACCUGCACCUGAACACACGACUUCACCUGUGUCAACCCCGUCUACACCUGGAAAAAUGUGUCCAACAAGUCUGCCUUCAAAAUAAAAGAUGCAACCUGCUGUGGAACAACAAAAGACUUCUCCAUUGACACAAAAAUGAGACAAACAUGGAAAUGUAAUGAAG